rnacentral:rRNA from 1 species
GUCUUUGAACGCAAGUUGCGCCCGAAGCCAUUCGGUUGAGGGCACGUCUGCCUGGGUGUCACGCAUCAUGUCGCCCCCUAACACCACUGCCCCCUCCCCAUCAAGGGUGUGCGGCAGUGGGGGCGCGGACAUUGGCCUCCCGUGGCAUCCCGCUGCGGAUGGCCUAAAAAUGAGCGAUGGAGCGGCGCAAUCCGUGACGCGGUGGUGGUAAUCGCCCCUCGGGCCAUAGUCCGGAUCGUCUCUCCGUCGGUGCUCGACGGCUUUCCAUCCAACACAUGCGACCCCAGGUCAGGCGGGGCUACCCGCUGAGUUUAAGCAUAUCAAUAAGCGGAGGAAAAGAAACUAACAAGGAUUCCCCUAGUAACGGCGAGCGAACCGGGAAAUGCCC